rnacentral:pre_miRNA from 1 species
CAAGAUGACCAGUUGUCUUGGUUUGCCUGAGACUGAGAAGCUUUCUGGGAUGUGAGACUUUCAUUGUUCAAACCAGGACAGUCCCAGGCCAGCCGGGACAGUUGGUCAUCCUGUUCAUCU